rnacentral:rRNA from 1 species
UACGUAGGGGGCUAGCGUUGUCCGGAAUCAUUGGGCGUAAAGCGCGUGUCGGCGGUCCGGUAAGUCCGCUGUGAAAGUCGAGGGCUCAACCCUCGAAUGCCGGUGGAUACUGUCGGGCUUGAGUACGGGAGAGGCGAGUGGAAUUCCUGGUGUAGCGGUGAAAUGCGCAGAUAUCAGGAGGAACACCGAUUGCGAAGGCAGCUCGCUGGAACGUUACUGACGCUGAGACGCGAAAGCGUGGGGAGCAAACAGG